rnacentral:rRNA from 1 species
UACAUGGGGUGCAAACGUUGUUCGGAUUCAUUGGGCGUAAAGGGUGCGUAGGCGGCGCGGUAAGUCGGGUGUGAAAUCUCGGAGCUUAACUCCGAAACUGCAUUCGAUACUGCCGUGCUUGAGGACUGGAGAGGAGACUGGAAUUUACGGUGUAGCGGUGAAAUGCGUAGAUAUCGUAAGGAAGACCAGUGGCGAAGGCGGGUCUCUGGACAGUUCCUGACGCUGAGGCACGAAGGUCAGGGGAGCAAACGGG